UUGUGUUUUCAUUUGUUUAUUUUAAAAUGUAUGAUGUUAUUAUGAAUCGGGAAUAUGAUAAUGGUAUUACUAACUGCAAAUUAAACUUUGUUUCAAAAUGAGCAUUAUUCUAUUAGAUAUGACCUAUUUUAUUAUCUUUUACGGACCUAACGUUUCAGUUCAAUGUAUUCAAUAAUAGAUUCGUCAGUGGUUGAAUGUAACAUCAAUAUGUAUCUAACUGGUGUUGGUUGAAAAUAUCAUUACGCAUCUAAAUGGUUUUACUUCAUCUACUAUAUUAAGUUAUCUAGCGGAACAUGUGGGUGUUGAUCAAGGAUUGAGGAUGUGCAUAGUUGAUCUAUGAUUUAUUAUUGCAAUAAAAUUGCAUUCAUUGUUGGCGACGCUUACGAAUAGAACGGGUUGGAACAUUGUUAAGGUGAUAAUGUUUAUUUCCAAUUUAUUACCGGUCAGUGUGAUUUUGCAUUUGUAUGCAGUUAACGAUACAGAUGUUAAAAACAUCACUAUAUUACCUCACAAUGCUGAUUUUUACUUUCCCUCGUGUGCCGUACGCGCGUGGAACAUAAAACGAGCUACUGUGGUAGAUGAGACUGCAGCAACCAAUGCCACCAUCAACACGUCAUAUCAAUGGUACGUAAAGUUUUUUAUGGGAGAAAGGGGAACGACAAAAGUAUCCAGGACCAAGAUUGUACGUCAUAAUGAAUUAGUGGAUUUACCGCUAUGUAUAAAUGGCAAUAUGAUUAUAUUUAAGAUUGAAAUUAUUAAAGAACCAAUAGUUUCAUCUACUGCUAGUAAUAUCACUAUGCAUAAGAAGCGAGUAAGACGGGAAACGAACAUAAAACAGUCUUGGUCAGAGAAUGAAUACUACCAAAUUAUACAAGACGGUGAUGAUAUAGAAAUGACAGUUCGAGUUCAAAAAAAAAAGAAACCUAUUUCUACCAAGAUUCUGAGUACUACCUCAACAGUCAGGCCACCACCACCACCACCACCACCACAUGUAGCAACAACAGCAACAACAACAACAACAACCACCACACAGAUACCUCUACUGUUGAGUGAAGACUGCCAACAGUAUGCGUAUAUGUUAGGUCAAAUGCAACGUUGGGCUGAUGGAGAAAUGCGUAUUAUAAAAACAGAUCCUAACGCUGAUAUGUUCUGCAAGGAUCGCUUACCGGCUAAUGCUACCAGGUUUUGAGAGCGACAACGUUAUCGAUAGCAAAUAAAUUUAAGGUAAGCUUUUAUUUUUUUUAAAGUUUUUAUAAAAUAAUAGAUUGUAGCGAGUGUGUGAAAUGAUAGGGGCUAUUUCCUGUUUUCUGCCGCAAACGUCAUAUCUGAGGUUUUGAUUUGGGUAUAAAACGGCCUGCUCACCCAUUGCCACCAUACCAGUCACUCAUAACACGGUGAGCAAAGCUACAGCUGUCAAAUUACCGCUAUGUCCCAUAAUUGUAUUGAGCGUUUGACAGAACGUGGGUUAAAUGUCAUAAACUGGAUUAAACCUAAGGAGUUAAAAAUAGGUCAUCCAUACGAAAUAAUUAACUGCUACCAAAAGCCUUCGCAGUUUGACAGUACGAAAAUGCAGACCAUUUUAAUUUUAAAAGAGGGUCACCUGACUCUUCCAUGUCGUUUUAACGCUAUGGAAGAGGAGGUGAUGGAUGAUAUUAAAAAUGGGGGCAUAGCGGUAGUUUCCAAGGGGCCGAAAAACAGAACCUGGCUUUUAGAGUUUUGUCCAGCAUAAAUAACAUCAGCAGCAGCAACAGCAGCAGCCACCGCAAGCAGCAGCAGCAACAACAACAUUGACGAUGCCAUCCUCUUCGUACCAGUUCAAGAGCGGCAACAGCAACAGCAUCAGCAACAACAUCAGCAACAGCAACAGCAGCAACAACAAGAGCUAACAUCUUCGCAGUCUCCCACACUACUGGUACCGUUAACGGCAUGUAUGAAAUUAACAGUGCAAAGCGAAGAUGCUAACCUAGCUGUACAUCAGCCUAAGGAAAACGUCCCACCGUCAAUUAAAUGUGAGCGUAGUCACGAUGAAUAUGAAAGUAUCGAGCCAGAGUUGGUAGCACAUUAUGAAAAUAAUAAAAAGCAAUGGAUACGAGCAUUCCAAAACAACUAUCUUAUUAAACAAUGGCGUUUACCAAUGCCACUAAAUCAUUUUAGAGGGGAAGUGUCCCGUUUAAUGAAAAAUCAAUAUAUUCAGGGUAAUAUACCAUCUAACGAUGAAGUAUCGGUGUAUUUUCUAACCGUAAUGUGGGAUGAAAUUAAUGAUGAGGUGGAGGGAGUGAUAGGAAAUGAAUCCAUAAAUUUCCAGGAUUGGUUUUUUUUUCUGUGUAGUUGUAAUGUAGAAAACUUUUCUCGCGUUACAUAUAACCCUAAAAUAUUUAACUACCUUAUUAGUAUCAUAUAUUGUGUGGUGGGAGCACACAUAAUAGACUCAAUUAACUAUACACCUCCAUCUUAUGAAAAUUAACAGUUUUUUUGUUGUUGUUGCUAUCGCUACCUGUUGUCAUACAUACCUGUUUAUAUGCAAAUGCAGCUGCUGCUAGCGAUUUUUUAUAUCUUAUAGUUACUAUACUACCUCAUGUAUCUUUAUGUGUAAUAAUAAUAAUAUUAGAAAUAAAAGA
rnacentral:lncRNA from 1 species